rnacentral:sRNA from 1 species
AGUGUUCGCGGGAGCGCCGCACCUACACCAGCCAACCCAGAUCCCGAGGUCCGACAGCGCCCGGCCCAGAUCCCCACGCCGGCCAGGAGCAAGCCGAGAGCCAACCGGCCGGCGCACUCCGACUCCGAGCAGUCUCUGUCCUUCGGCCCGAGCCCCGCGCCCUUUCCGGGACCCCUGCCCCGCGGGCAGCGCUGCCACCCUGCCGGCCAUGGAGACCCCGUCCCAGCGGCGCGCCACCCGCAGCGGGGCGCAGGCCAGCUCCACUCCGCUGUCGCCCACCCGCAUCACCCGGCUGCAGGAGAAGGAGGACCUGCAGGAGCUCAAUGAUCGCUUGGCG